GGAGAAACAGCUUCCUCGACGUAAAAUGCAGAGGCAUGCAACGCGGCGGAUGCAAGUUUGCUAAUUGAAAUUAUUCGCAAAGAUCUAGAAGAAUUAAAACUGGAGGUGCUGCGAAACGAUCCUUUUUCGACGCUAUACUCGGUUAAAACUAUCGACGCUUUGCACCUGAUGCCGGAACUGCCCACCUCGAGAGCAGAUGAGCGCUGGGGAAUGUUUUCAGCCACCUGGAGGAGGAAGUUCAGCGCGGAAGAAAUGUUACCAGACUUCGCCGAUCUGGUAUCUGGACUUUUUUGAUGAUCUAAUAAAGAUUGGGUGUGCAGAUGGGCGUUUAAAGUUCUGGGAGGGAACGACUGGUAACUUUUAGGAUAUAUAUGAAGCUGAAAACAACCACAACAAUGGGGUAACUAACAUAAACCUCGCCGGUGACAAAGUGAUAGUCGCACGGUUGAGUGAACGAAUCGAUUUUCUGAGACUGGAAACGUACACGUAAAGUUUUCAGAUCGAUUGGGGAUUUACGUCUGCAUAUGGGCGAACCCACGUACGCAGCGGUUCGGCAG